ensembl:lncRNA
CAUCAAAUGAUGAGAAUUUGAUGCCUGGAAACAUAUGAGAGAUAGAAAAGCUAUGCAGACAUGACAGGUGCAGGUGCAAGUGCCAGUGACUGGGUGAAACGAAAGCUAAAUCAGCAUAUUCGCAAUAAACACAGGAAAUCAGGUCAGGAUCCCACCAAAGUUCGUGCAUCCAACAUACCUGAAUCUCAUUAUUUUGAGGAGGACGAUCCAUUAAGAAGAACAGGAUGAAUCUCCUCUAC